rnacentral:rRNA from 1 species
GACAGAGGGGGCAAGCGUUGCUCGGAAUCACUGGGCGUAAAGGGCGCGUAGGCGGGAUGGCAAGUCGGUCGUGAAAGCCUUCGGCUCAACCGAAGAACGUCGGCCGAUACUGCCGUUCUUGAGGGAUGCAGAGGAGACUGGAAUUCCCGGUGUAGCGGUGAAAUGUGUAGAGAUCGGGAGGAACACCGGUGGCGAAGGCAAUCCCCUGGGCCUGCACUGACGCUCAUGCACGAAAGCGUGGGGAGCAAACAGG